AUACUCUAGUUUCUCUUCAGAUCAUAUAAACCUUUUGUCUUUUACUAAAGAUUUCUGUGGAGAGGAACAUUUAUGAAUUUGUAACUGAUUUUGGCCCCUGCCCAGUGGAAUAU